GUGCAAAAAUUUCGCUCCUACUUGUAACUGGGAUUUUUCGUGGGGAAAAUGCCUCUGACCAAUGCUGAGAAGCAACGACGCUAUAGGGAAAGAUUAAAAGACAACCCUGAAAAAAAAGAAGAAAUAAGAAAAAAAAUCUAGAGAGAAUCAAACGGAAGACCAAAAAGAUUCAAAUUUUACAGAAGAAGAAAAGGCUGCAGAAAAAAGGAAGCAGUGGCGAAAACAAAAGCAAAAUCAUAUUUGUGUUAUAUGUUUUGAAUAGAGCAUGUCAGUUUAAUAAUUUUACUUUUGAAAUAUACAAUACUAAAUAAA